rnacentral:rRNA from 1 species
AGAACGAACGCUGGCGGCAUGCCUAACACAUGCAAGUCGAACGAGACCUUCGGGUCUAGUGGCGCACGGGUGCGUAACGCGUGGGAAUCUGCCCUUGGGUUCGGAAUAACAGCGAGAAAUUGCUGCUAAUACCGGAUGAUGACGUAAGUCCAAAGAUUUAUCGCCCAAGGAUGAGCCCGCGUAGGAUUAGCUUGUUGGUGAGGUAAGAGCUCACCAAGGCGACGAUCCUUAGCUGGUCUGAGAGGAUGAUCAGCCACACUGGGACUGAGACACGGCCCAGACUCCUACGGGAGGCAGCAGGUGGGGAAUAUUGGACAAGUGGG